rnacentral:rRNA from 1 species
GUAGAACGCUGGCGGCGUGCCUAAUACAUGCAAGUAGAACGCUGAAGGAAGGAAGGCUUGCUCUUUCCGGAUGAGUUGCGAACGGGUGAGUAACGCGUAGGUAACCUGCCUGGUAGCGGGGGAGUAACUAUUGGAAACGAAUAGCUAAUACCGCAUAACAGUAGAUAUUGCAUGAUAUCUGCUUGAAAGGGGCAAUUGCUCCACUACCAGAUGGACCUGCGUUGUAUUAGCUAGUUGGUGAGGUAACGGCUCACCAAGGCGACGAUACAUAGCCGACCUGAGAGGGUGAUCGGCCACACUGGGACUGAGACACGGCCCAGACUCCUACGGGAGGCAGCAGUAGGGAAUCUUCGGCAAUGGACGGAAGUCUGACCGAGCAACGCCGCGUGAGUGAAGAAGGUUUUCGGUAUCGUAAAGCUCUGUUGUAAGAGAAGAACGAGUGUGAGAGUGGAAAGUUCACACUGUGACGGUAUCUUACCAGAAAGGGACGGCUAACUACGUG